UACGUAGGGGGCGAGCGUUGUCCGGAUUCAUUGGGCGUAAAGAGCUCGUAGGCGGCUGCUCAAGUCGAAUGUGAAAACUCGAGGCUCAACCUCGAGCCUGCAUUCGAUACUGGGCGGCUAGAGUCUGGUAGGGGGAUCUGGAAUUCCUGGUGUAGCGGUGGAAUGCGCAGAUAUCAGGAGGAACACCGGUGGCGAAGGCGGGUCUCUGGGCAGUAACUGACGCUGAGGAGCGAAAGCGUGGGGAGCGAACAGG
rnacentral:rRNA from 1 species